rnacentral:rRNA from 1 species
GAAUAGCUCAUUACAACAGCCACCGUUUACUAGAAAAUAGUUAUCCUACUUGGAUAACUGUGGCAAUUCUAGAGCUAAUACAUGCAAAAAAGCUCUGCCCGCAAGGAACGAGCGCAUUUAUUAGAAUAAAAACCAAUCGGGUUUCGGCCCGUCGUUUGGGGAAUCUGAAUAACUUUGCCAAUCGCACAGUCCUAGUACUGGCGAUAUAUCUUUCAAGUGUCUGCCUUAUCAACUUUCGAUGGUAGGUUAUACGCCUACCAUGGUAGUAACGGGUAACGGAGAAUAAGGGUUCGACUCCGGAGAGGGAGCCUGAGAAACGGCUACCACAUCCAAGGAAGGCAGCAGGCGCGCAAAUUACCCACUUCCAGAACGGAGAGGUAGUGACGAAAAAUAACGAGACAGUCCUCUUCGAGGUCUGUCAUCGGAAUGGGUACAAUUUAAAUCCUUUAACGAGGAUCUAUUGGAGGGCAAGUCUGGUGCCAGCAGCCGCGGUAAUUCCAGCUCCAAUAGCGUAUAUUAAAGUUGUUGCGGUUAAAACGCUCGUAGUUGGAUCUGCGGCCUUGGAGAACGGUCCCCCGAAAGGGCGGUCACUGUCUCUCCUAGCCUAAUUUCGAGUCGUCUCUAGGUGCUCUUUACCGAGUGCCUAGAGUGACUAGAACGUUUACUUUGAAAAAAUUAGAGUGCUUAAAGCAGGCGAAAUAGCCUGAAUAAGGUGCAUGGAAUAAUGGAAUAGGACCUCGGUUCUAUUUUGUUGGUUUUCGGAACCCGAGGUAAUGAUUAAGAGGAACAGACGGGGGCAUUCGUAUUCCGGCGCUAGAGGUGAAAUUCUUGGACCGCCGGAAGACGGACGACUGCGAAAGCAUUUGCCAAGAAUGUUUUCAUUACUCAAGAACGAAAGUAGAGUCG